CAAUAGCGUAUAUUAAAGUUGUUGCAGUUAAAAAGCUCGUAGUUGGAUUUCGGGGCAGCCUGGCUGGUCCGCCGCAAGGCGAGUACUGGUCAGCCGCCCUUCCUCUCGAAAGCCCCGACUGCUCUUUAUUGCAGUGGUCGGGUAGUUCGGGACGUUUACUUUGAAAAAAUUAGAGUGUUCAAGGCAGGCCUACGCCUGAAUACAUUAGCAUGGAAUAAUGGAAGAGGACCUCGGUCCUAUUUUGUUGGUUUCCAGGACCGAAGUAAUGAUUAAGAGGGACAGUUGGGGGCAUUCGUAUUUAAUUGUCAGAAGUGAAAUUCUCGGAUUUAUGAAAGACGAACAACUGCGAAAGCAUUUGCCAAGGAUGUUUUCGUUAA
rnacentral:rRNA from 1 species